CCAGCAUUGUGGCGCAUUGAAGUUUGCUGGUGAAACGCCCGAGACUGUUGGGCGGUACGAAGUUCGCCGGGACAACUAGUAAUAUUAUAAUUCGGAGAAGUUAAGGAAAUUAUUUUGUGAAAUUGAUACAUCACGGAUACGCAUAGCUAUUACGAUUCGCUGUAGUCAUGCUUUCGAAAAGAGUAUAAAAUGGAAGGGCCAAGCCCAAGUGAUAUCUUCGUUUUAACGGAAGCUAAAAUCAACAUGAAACUGAUACUUCUCUCUGCUGUGCUAGCUAUCUUAGCGUCGGGCUGCUAUGCUUCUACUGAUAGCAUUUACGAUCUAAUGAAGACACAAACACCACUACCGGUAUCAUAUACGAUCUAUUGAAGACAGAAACACCACUACCGCUACCACUAAAACCACAAUAGUAACAGCUAUAAUUGGUUUUAGAUAUAUAACGCAUAUUCAAAUAUACAAUUCAUAAUCGGCAAAUAAAUUGAGCUUGUCCAAUUUAA